rnacentral:rRNA from 1 species
UUGAUCCUGGCUCAGGACGAACGCUGGCGGCACGCUUAACACAUGCAAGUCGAACGAGAGAAGAGAAGCUUGCUUUUCUGAUCUAGUGGCGGACGGGUGAGUAACACGUGAGCAAUCUGCCUUUCAGAGGGGGAUACCGAUUGGAAACGAUCGUUAAUACCGCAUAACAUAAUUGAACCGCAUGAUUUGAUUAUCAAAGAUUUAUCGCUGAAAGAUGAGCUCGCGUCUGAUUAGCUAGUUGGUAAGGUAACGGCUUACCAAGGCGACGAUCAGUAGCCGGACUGAGAGGUUGAUCGGCCACAUUGGGACUGAGACACGGCCCAGACUCCUACGGGAGGCAGCAGUGGGGAAUAUUGCACAAUGGAGGAAACUCUGAUGCAGCGAUGCCGCGUGAGGGAAGAAGGUUUUAGGAUUGUAAACCUCUGUCUUCAGGGACGAAAAAAGACGGUACCUGAGGAGGAAGCUCCGGCUAACUACGUGCCAGCAGCCGCGGUAAUACGUAGGGAGCGAGCGUUGUCCGGAAUUACUGGGUGUAAAGGGAGCGUAGGCGGGAUCGCAAGUCAGAUGUGAAAACUAUGGGCUUAACCCAUAAACUGCAUUUGAAACUGUGGUUCUUGAGUGAAGUAGAGGUAAGCGGAAUUCCUAGUGUAGCGGUGAAAUGCGUAGAUAUUAGGAGGAACAUCAGUGGCGAAGGCGGCUUACUGGGCUUUAACUGACGCUGAGGCUCGAAAGCGUGGGGAGCAAACAGGAUUAGAUACCCUGGUAGUCCACGCCGUAAACGAUGAUUACUAGGUGUGGGGGGACUGACCCCUUCCGUGCCGCAGCAAACGCAAUAAGUAAUCCACCUGGGGAGUACGACCGCAAGGUUGAAACUCAAAGGAAUUGACGGGGGCCCGCACAAGCAGUGGAGUAUGUGGAUUAAUUCGAAGCAACGCGAAGAACCUUUCCAGGUCUUGACAUCGUAUGCAUAGCUCAGAGAUGAGUGAAAUCUCCUCGGAGACAUAUAGACAGGUGGUGCAUGGUUGUCGUCAGCUCGUGUCGUGAGAUGUUGGGUUAAGUCCCGCAACGAGCGCAACCCUUACUGUUAGUUGCUACGCAAGAGCACUCUAGCAGGACUGCCGUUGACAAAACGGAGGAAGGUGGGGAUGACGUCAAAUCAUCAUGCCCUUUAUGACCUGGGCCUCACACGUACUACAAUGGCUGUCAACAGAGGGAAGCAAAGCCGCGAGGUGGAGCAAUCCCCUAAAAGCAGUCUUAGUUCGGAUUGUAGGCUGCAACCCGCCUACAUGAAGUCGGAAUUGCUAGUAAUCGCAGAUCAGCAUGCUGCGGUGAAUACGUUCCCGGGCCU